AAGUCGUAACAAGGUUUCCGUAGGUGAACCUGCGGAAGGAUCAUUAUUAAUUCUUUCAGUUAAGCGGCUGCUGCGUGUUAACGCGCGCAGUUGUUUUUCUUGUGAACUGGGGCUGCUGCUUAAGUUUAAUCGCUCGAGUGGCGGCCUGUUGUUAAUGCUCUUGUGUUAAUUUUUUUUGUUUUUGCUUUUUUAAGCCUAACCGCUUAAGAAAAUAAUUACAAGACAACUUUCAGCAAUGGAUCUCUUGGCUCUU
rnacentral:misc_RNA from 1 species